CCUACGGGAGGCAGCAGUGAGGAAUAUUGGUCAAUGGACGCGAGCCUGAACCAGCCAAGUAGCGUGAAGGAUGACUGCCCUAUGGGUUGUAAACUUCUUUUAUAUGGGAAUAAAAUGCUCCACGUGUGGCAUUUUGUAUGUACCAUAUGAAUAAGGAUCGGCUAACUCCGUGCCCGCAGCCGCGGUAAUACGGAGGAUCCGAGCGUUAUCCGGAUUUAUUUGGUUUAAAGGGAGCGUAGGUGGGUUGUUAAGUCAGUUGUGAAAGUUUGCGACUCAACCGUAAAAGUGCAGUUGAAACUGGCAGUCGUGAGUACAGUAGAGGUAGGCGGAAUGCGUGGUGUAGCGGUGAAAUGCUGAGAUAUCACGAAGAACUCCGAUUGCGAAGGCAGCUUACUGGACUGCAACUGACACUGAGGCACGAAAGUGUGGGUAUCAAACAGGAUUAGAUACCCGGGUAGUC
rnacentral:rRNA from 1 species